GGGGAUGUAGCUCAGUUGGGAGAGCACAGGCUUUGCAAGCCUGGGGUCAGGGGUUCGAAUCCCCUCAUCUCCA
rnacentral:tRNA from 1 species